rnacentral:rRNA from 1 species
AGAGUUUGCUUCUGGCUCAGGAUGAACGCUGGCGGCGUGCUUAACACAUGCAAGUCGAACGAAACACCUUAUUUGAUUUUCUUCGGAACUGAAGAUUUGGUGAUUGAGUGGCGGACGGGUGAGUAACGCGUGGGUAACCUGCCCUGUACAGGGGGAUAACAGUCAGAAAUGACUGCUAAUACCGCAUAAGACCACAGCACCGCAUGGUGCAGGGGUAAAAACUCCGGUGGUACAGGAUGGACCCGCGUCUGAUUAGCUGGUUGGUGAGGUAACGGCUCACCAAGGCGACGAUCAGUAGCCGGCUUGAGAGAGUGAACGGCCACAUUGGGACUGAGACACGGCCCAAACUCCUACGGGAGGCAGCAGUGGGGAAUAUUGCACAAUGGGGAAACCCUGAUGCAGCGACGCCGCGUGAGUGAAGAAGUAUCUCGGUAUGUAAAGCUCUAUCAGCAGGGAAGAAAAUGACGGUACCUGAAUAAGAAGCACCGGCUAAAUACGUGCCAGCAGCCGCGGUAAUACGUAUGGUGCAAGCGUUAUCCGGAUUUACUGGGUGUAAAGGGGUGAGUAGGCGGUCAUGCAAGUCAUAUGUGAAAUGUCAGGGCUUAACCUUGGCGCUGCAUAAGAAACNUGUAUGACUAGAGUGCAGGAGAGGUAAGCGGAAUUCCUAGUGUAGCGGUGAAAUGCGUAGAUAUUAGGAAGAACACCGGUGGCGAAGGCGGCUUACUGGACUGUUACUGACGCUGAGUCACGAAAGCGUGGGGAGCAAACAGGAUUAGAUACCCUGGUAGUCCACGCCGUAAACGAUG